AGGUCUUAUUUACAAAAGGAAUACAGAUCACCUUUUACAUACAAACUAAAUGUUUCGCGGAAUGUGAUCCACAGAAAUGUGCGUGUUUAACAAAAUUGUGCACUGACCGUACUUUUUAUAUAUCUUUUUUUCAAAUAGAUUUGUGUCUUUGUACAAUAGUUGAUAAUUCGGUUAGAUUUAAAAUAUACAAUCGGUUAUAUUUACUUUUUAU
rnacentral:lncRNA from 1 species